rnacentral:rRNA from 1 species
UGGGGAAUCUUGCACAAUGGGGGCAACCCUGAUGCAGCGACGCCGCGUGAGCGAUGAAGCCCUUCGGGGCGUAAAGCUCUUUCGACCGGAACGAUAAUGACGGUACCGGGAGAAGAAGCUGCGGCUAACUACGUGCCAGCAGCCGCGGUAAUACGUAGGCAGCGAGCGUUGUUCGGAGUUACUGGGCGUAAAGAGUGUGUAGGCGGUUUUCUAAGUUCGGUGUGAAAUCUCCCGGCUUAACUGGGAGGGUGCGCCGAAGACUGGGAAGCUGGAGUGUGGGAAAGGCAGGCGGAAUUCCUGGUGUAGCGGUGAAAUGCGUAGAUAUCAGGAGGAACACCGGCGCUGUAGACGGCUUGCUAGACCAUAACUGACGCUGAGGCACGAAAGCGUGGGUAGCAAACA